rnacentral:rRNA from 1 species
ACACAUGCAAGUCGAACGGUAAGGCCCCUUCGGGGGUACACGAGUGGCGAACGGGUGAGUAACACGUGAGCAACCUACCCUUGACACUGGAAUAACAGUUGGAAACAGCUGCUAAUGCCGGAUACGACCUUCGGUGGCAUCACCUGGAGGUGGAAAGUGCUUAGCGGUCAAGGAUGGGCUCGCGGCCUAUCAGCUAGUUGGUGAGGUAACGGCUCACCAAGGCUUCGACGGGUAGCCGGCCUGAGAGGGCGACCGGCCACACUGGGACUGAGAUACGGCCCAGACUCCUACGGGAGGCAGCAGUGGGGAAUAUUGCACAAUGGGCGCAAGCCUGAUGCAGCAACGCCGCGUGCGGGAUGACGGCCUUCGGGUUGUAAACCGCUUUCAGUUCCGACGAAGCGCAAGUGACGGUAGGAACAGAAGAAGGACCGGCCAACUACGUGCCAGCAGCCGCGGUGAUACGUAGGGUCCGAGCGUUGUCCGGAAUUAUUGGGCGUAAAGGGCUUGUAGGCGGUUUGUCACGUCGGAAGUGAAAACUCAGGGCUUAACCCUGAGCCUGCUUCCGAUACGGGCAAACUAGAGGAAUGCAGGGGAGAAUGGAAUUCCUGGUGGAGCGGUGGAAUGCGCAGAUAUCAGGAGGAACACCGGUGGCGAAGGCGGUUCUCUGGGCAUUUCCUGACGCUGAGAAGCGAAAGCGUGGGGAGCAAACAGGCUUAGAUACCCUGGUAGUCCACGCCGUAAACGGUGGGCACUAGGUGUGGGGAACAUUCCACGUUCUCCGUGCCGAAGCUAACGCAUUAAGUGCCCCGCCUGGGGAGUACGGCCGCAAGGCUAAAACUCAAAGGAAUUGACGGGGGCCCGCACAAGCGGCGGAGCAUGCGGAUUAAUUCGAUGCAACGCGAAGAACCUUACCUGGGUUUGACAUAUACCGGA